AACGCACCUUGCGCCCUUUGGUAUUCCGAAGGGCAUGCCUGUUUGAGUGUCAUUAAAUUCUCAACCUUGCUCGCCUUUACCGGCUUGAGUGAGGCUUGGACGUGAGGGCUUUGCUGGCUUCCUUAAGUGGAUGGUCUGCUCCCUUUAAAUGCAUUAGUGGGAUCUCUUGUGGACCGUCACUUGGUGUGAUAAUUAUCUACGCCUCGUCGACUUUGAAGCAAACUUAUGGGAACCUGCUUAUAACCGUCUCGCGAGGGACAACUUUCUGACAUUUUGACCUCAAAUCAGGUAGGACUACCCGCUGAACUUAA
rnacentral:rRNA from 1 species